CGAUUUACAAUAUCAUUAUUGUAAAUCGGCUUGUUUGGACUCCACGUGCCGCUCUACUCCCCUCUCUUUCUCUCUCUAUAAUGCUAUAAUAUCUGCAAUGGCAACCAACAAAGGAAAGAACGUCUUGAUUAAUCUUUCAUCAUCAUCUUCUUCUGACGAUAAUGCCGAUGAUUCUGAUUCUGCUCCAUCUUCUAGUGGAGAUGAAUGUGAGUUGAUUGACGAUGACGAUGAUUACGAGAUUGAAGAUGAUGAAUCUGAGGAAGAUGACUGUAUAAAAGAUGACUGCUAUGGAAAUGAAGAUGAUGAUCAUUCUCUCUCUAAUCGAGUCAUUCACUUUCUUCAAGGACAAGUUACUUUGUCAAACUCACUAUUUUCCACAAGACUAUUCCUUGAUGAAGACAUUGGUAAGGUUGUAUCAUUCAAGAACAAGUUGUCAUCAAUUCAAAGUUCAUAAUUUUCAUUUAUGUAACUAUUGCAAUUAAUUUUAUUUUUUUGCUACUCAUACCAAAUUAUUAGGAAAAAUUUCCCGCAAUAAUCCGACCUUUUGGCCGUCCGCUGAAAAUAAUCCCAUCUAUGGAUUAUUUUUAAAUAAUCCCACCUUUAUACCCACCCCGCUAUAAAUGAUCCCAUUUUACUUGGAACCGGUUGAGCAGGUAAAUUUUUUUUUUUUUAAGUAGAAUUUACACGUGUCACUUAUUGAUUAGUCUAAAAAAUAAAUAAAAAAAAGUAAAAAAAAUCACCACCACCCCCUAAGCAACACCAAUUCAGCCACCACCACCCAACCUAAACCCUAGAACCGCACCCACAUAUGAAACCACCGCGACGGAGGAAGGAGAGAGAGAGAUAGGCCGGAAUCGCGUGAAGGAGACUAGGGGAGAGAGGCUGGAAUCGGGAUGGACAAAGGGAGGAACGGGACCGGAAUUUGGAUGGGGAUGGGGAGAGGGACUGGGAUCGGGACGGGGGAACAGGUUUUCGAGGGUGGUUGGUGGUUUCAGGGUAAGGGGACCACGAGUCGGCGGUUUAGGGGGAGGGAGAGGGUGGACAGAUCGAGUUGUUGGUGGCCGACGGCGCUGACGCUGGAGUUGGGGGCUGGUGAUUUCGCGACGGAGGUUGGUGCUGUGACUGCUGUCGUGAGGGAAGGAGACGGUGGUUAUGUGAUGGAGGGAGGCGGGGUGUUCAGGGGAGGGGUUUCAAGGCAACGCCGGCGCCAGGGUCGGGGGUCUGGGUGACCGGUGCUACGGGAUGAGGUGACGGGGAAGGCUUGGGCUGGCGGUGGUUUUUGAUUAUUUUUUUUUUUGACAAGUUACAUGACCGGUUGGGACCAUUUAUAGCGGAGUGGGUAUAAAAGUGGGAUUAUUUAAAAAUAAUCCAUAGGUGGGAUUAUUUUUAGCGGAUAGCUAAAAGGUCGGAUUAUUGCGGGCAUUUUUUCCUACUUUUGCUACUCAUACCAAAUUAUUAUGGGACCUAUUUUAUCAGGUUAGUGUAAAAUGCUUUUGCUGUCAUGUGAUCCGACCUGUCAAUAACAAGUUCAGUUUCUAUAACACAAGAGUUUCUCCAGCGACAUGAACGAAAAUCUGUGGAUGAUUUACGUGAGAUUGACAAGGCAACUUAUUGCAUAAUUCUAGCAACCAUUAAUUGCAUUGAGUUGGAACAUGGAUGGUAUUAUUUAGCGUGCAAGAAAUGCAAUAAAAAGGUCAAAGAAGAUGAUGCUACUAAGUACUAACCAAGGUGACCAAGAUACUAAAACCAAAGGCACUAAGUUCUUGUGCAAGAAAUGUGAUAAAUUGAUCCAUGGUGAUAAAGUCAUACCAAGGAAGCAAUUUCAUGCAUGGGAGACAACUAUCAACGUUUCGAGUUAUCACCCUUAAGUUCUUCCAAAAAACAUUUGUUGGAAGUUGAUUCAAUUAUCCCACGAGAAGAAAUGUCUGCUACCAAAAAGAAGAAGUUUGAAGUUAAGAUAAAAAAGGAUUAGGAGUGGUAAUAAAAUCAUUUAAACAAUUAGUACUCUGUUUUAUGAUUUUUACUUUUAUCAUUUGCGUUUA